GUGUUGUAUGAAGGGAGAGAAGGUUACCAUCUCACCUUGAUAAGGAUGAAAGGGAUCCUAGUAUCCUUACAACACACAGAUGGUUAAGGUAUUGCAAUCUACUUGGUGACAUUGAACCAUGUUUUUAA